rnacentral:rRNA from 1 species
UGGGGAAUUUUGGACAAUGGGCGCAAGCCUGAUCCAGCAAUGCCGCGUGCAGGAUGAAGGCCUUCGGGUUGUAAACUGCUUUUGUACGGAGCGAAAAGGUCUGCCCUAAUACGGUGGCUCAUGACGGUACCGUAAGAAUAAGCACCGGCUAACUACGUGCCAGCAGCCGCGGUAAUACGUAGGGUGCGAGCGUUAAUCGGAAUUACUGGGCGUAAAGCGUGCGCAGGCGGUGACGUAAGACAGAUGUGAAAUCCCCGGGCUCAACCUGGGACCUGCAUUUGUGACUGCAUCGCUGGAGUGCGGCGGAGGGGGAUGGAAUUCCGCGUGUAGCAGUGAGAUGCGUAGAUAUGCGGAGGAACACCGAUGGCGAAGGCACUCCCCUGGGCCUGCACUGACGCUCAUGCACGAAAGCGUGGGGAGCAAACA